AGCUGUUCAAACUGAGGAGGUUAAUUUAUUAUUUGUUCUGUUGCAGAGUUUGUGCUGCAAAUCACAGUUUUACCCUUGUGGAAGGGUUUGUCUCUAAUUUAUAUCAUAGUUUUUGUUUGUAUACCUGUGUUCCUAAUUUCCAUAAUUCAAUCUUGAUUUGGAAUCUGUCGAUCUAUAUUCUCAGCACCGCGAUUUUAAUUUUGGGUGACUAUCUUAGCAACCCUUUUGUUUGCUUUUCAGCACCUAAGUUUGAUCAGUGAAGGCAACAUGGAGGGUUAGAGUUAAGGAAGAAAUUUUCUUGAAUCACUUCACAGAUAAAGUUUGGGAUCUUUCAGUUUAUGUUGUGUGGGUUGGAUCCAUAAGAUACCACAGCUUUUGAUGUUCUAUAAUUCACCGAAAGGAGUUAGUAGUUCGAUCCUUUUGAUUCUUAUCCUCCUUGUAACAGGCAUCCUGAGCAAUACGUUGUUUUACAUAUAAAUUUGAUUAUCCUAUUGUUUCUCUCUAUCUACAAUGUGUCAUUAAGGAGUUGAAGAAUAGUUAACUAGUAUGAGAAAAUCUCAUUUUUUGGUAUGGUAUUUAUUGUAUUAUUGUUAUCUAUUCAGACUGUUAGUUUCUUGAUCGCUUGUUUAUCAAGAAUGUGGCAUAUAGGAUGCACAUUAUUUUUUGAUAAGGACUGACUCGAACUUUUUGAAUCUUGUUGGUAACUGCUGCACUGAAGGGAAAAUGCAAACAAGGAGCAGGGGGAGGGCAGGGUAAGGAAACACGGGUGGGGAAACAUGGAUGGUCUAACAUACCUCAUGCAUGGGGACAUUGAGGGAAUUGGUGUGACAUAGUAGAAUAUCAAUGGGAUUAUUGACGGUUUUUGUGUACUAUAGGUUAUGGAGGUAAGUAGAUUAUGGAUUUGGUUAUCUGUGAUGAUCCUUUUUUUUAUUUUCAUAGGGUUGAAGGUAUCUGCUAGCUUGUAUUCAUCUUUAUGCAGUGGCAGUUCGUAAAGCAUAUAAUAUGGAGUCUAUUUUGUUAAGUGGCUUUGUAGCUUUAUCUCUUGGUUCCAGAAUAUAUUCAUUCCCAUUGAUCUGGUAAGCUUGUGACCAUCUCUCAUUUCUUUGACCUGCUCCUUGAUCAUUAUAGGAUGUAUGCACUAAUUGGAAUAUGAUGUGACCGUUUUCACUGCCAUCAUCCUUAGCCUUGAGUUUAGAAUCAGUUAUAGUUGUUUUCCCCUGAUACUUAAGAGUUUAUAUGAUAGGUUAACUUGUUAUUUCUGUUGUUGCAGAAAAGCCAGUGCAACUGGGAAACAAUCUAUUUCAGGGGUAUCUUGAUCUUGAACAUUAUAUAAAAACUGGAGUUUAAUGUUGUGAUUUUUUUGUUAAGGGGAUCGAAAUGUUUGUUAGUGGAGUUUACUAUAUUUUUUUGUUCACAAACUAUUCACAUGGAAGAUUAAUUUAUUAUUUCUUCUGUCGCAGACGUGCUUAUAUUGCAGGAUGCAAUUUUUCCAAGGUAGAAGAGCAGAGUGUGUCCUUUAUAUCCUAGUCAUUGUUUAUGUGCAUUGGUGUACCAAAUAGUCGCCUUGUUCCAUUAUUGGCUUGUGUUCUCUUAAUGGAUCUGGUCCCUUGGUAGAUUUUGGAAAAUCCUGGAUUAUGAUUUGUAAUGAGCUUCAUUUUCUUCCUGUUAGAUUUGCACUAUAUUUUUUCUUGUAUUGAUAAUCGUGCUGUUAUAUAUUGUAGGCAAUGGUGUGUCUUAGAACUGAUAUAAGUUCUUCUAUUGAUAAGUGACUUAGUAGCUGCUACACUUAAAUCUGGGUUUGUAUUUUCAUCCUUGUUCCAAUUACUCAAAUAUUUCUUUAUUAUUGGUAAUCCUGUCAUUUGCCUCACCAGAACUGUGAUUUGAUUCGUGAAGGCAUAAUGGAGCAAUCCAAGUGGAGCAGUGAUUUUUCGUGCAUUGGUGCAUAUGGGAAUUGAUAUAUAUUCUGCUACUGCUGACUGACUUAGUAUCUGUUAGUCUAUUCUGCUCAUCUUUGUUCCUCAUGCUCUAACUUUUGAUAUGGAUUAGUGUUCAUCUCUUUUGCUUCACUAGAAAAUUGAUUUGAUCUGUGAAGGCACCAUGGGGGAAUCUAAGGGAAGAAGCAAUUUGUAAUUAUGAGAGUAGUACUGUAGGUGACAUUUCAGCUGAUGAACGGAAGGGGCUCACUGGCUUAUGUCAUUUCAUUGUAUUUUAAUCAUCAUUUACAUACUGUUGGCUUCUUCAAUUUCAUUAUCAGUAUCAAGAUUAUUGGUGGUUUUACUCUAUUCUUGCUUGCAAGCGGAUGUAGAUUUCUUGAAGAUUUGCAUUUAUUAUGGUAGUGAGUUUCUUGAAGAUUUGCAGCAAUUUUUUUGACUUGGUUUUAGGGUUUACAGAAUUAGAAGCUGUUUGUUCUUGUUUGUGUGUUUGACAAUUGAAUCCGGUUUCGUGUGAUCUUCUUUUUGAAAAUAAUUCAAGUGGUCGAGUUUUUUUAUGGAACUGGGAGUGCUCUUUUGUUAAUCUACAGGCAUUUCUUGUAACGUGUUUUGAUCAGUUUUUGAAUAUCGCCAAUCCAACAAUAUGAGUUCAGACUUGCUUAUGAUUUUCCUGCUGCCAGUUUUACAGUUUUUGGCAUUCAUUUUUACAAUAUUAUUUGCAGUUUGAAAGCAUCACACAAGCAUUAUUUUGCAGCCUGAAGAGUGUUUUCUGAUGUUUCUGAUGCUAAUACUCAAAAGAGAUGUUCCUGAUUCCAAUUCAAUGUUACUUUAGAUUCCAUCUUCCGGUGUUGGACAAGAUAGGCAUGAUUCAGAGGCUGAAAUUGAGAUUGAAGAUUUGCAGUAGUUGAGGAAUCUUCUGUGACUUGGUUAUUAGGGUUCACAAAAUUAGGAGCUGUUUGUUCUUGUUUGAGGAUUUGACAGUUGAAUCUGGUUUAUUGUGAUUUAGUUUUCCUUUUUUCCCUAAAAAAGAAUCCAAGUGGUCAGGUUUUUUUCUUAUGGAAGUGGUAGUGCUCCAUUGGUAAUCUGCAGGAAUCAGCCAUGGUGUAUUCUGAUUGGACCUUUGAGUAUCGCCAAUCUGACAGUCCGAGUUCAGAUUUACUUCAUCAUUUUCUUGUAUUCAGUUGGAGCACUGGUGCCGGGGUUAUGAGUUUUAAGUAUUUAUUUUAAAAAUACUUUCAGCGUGCAAUCAUCGUGGAAGUGGUUUCUGAUGUUUCUGAUGUUGAUACUCAUGCUCGAUGCUUCUGAUUGUGAGUUGUUAUUUCAGUUUCCAUAUUCUGAUGUUGGACAUGAGAAGUCUUUCAUGGGGGUUUCUUCUUCUUUAUAGUUGUUUCUCUUCGUGUUUUUAUUUUUGUUUUUUCAAUUAAGGUUUUGUAUGGUUAUUAUCAUCUGUCUAUUCCCUGGGGAUUUCUUGAAGAUUUGCAGUAAUCAAGGGAACCGGGGAAUUCUUGGAGAUUUGCAGUGAAUUUCUUGAAGAUUGCAGUAAUUAAGGUAGCGAAUUUCUUGAGGAUUUGCAACAGUUAGGUAUUUCUGUAUGACAUGGUUUAGGGUUUGCAGAAUUAGAAGCAGUUUGUUCUUCUUUGAGAAUUCAUCGAUAUGAGGUUUGAACCUGUUUUUUCAUGAUUUUGGGUUUUUUUCUAAAAGGAAUUUAAGUGGUUCAGGUAUAUUAUGAAACUGGAAGUGCCUCUUCAUUAAUCUACAGGAAUCAGCAGUGUUGUGUUUUAAUUGGAUUCUGAUUGUUGCCCAUCCUACUGUACAAGUUCAGGCUUGCUUCAUUAUUUUCUUAUAUUUAGUUGAAGAAUUGUUGCGGGAUUAUGAAAUUUUAGUUUUUUUAAAAUAUAUUAAGGUCAGUUUGAAAACAUCACAGAAGCAUUAUCUUGCGGACCAGAGAAGCAUGAUUUAGAGGCUGGAAUUCAGAUAGAUUGAUUUCUUGUGAAGGGGGUUUGUCUAUUGCAUGGAUAUGAUGAAAAUAUUAUUGUGCAGGAAACAAAGACUUCUGAUGAUGUUCAUGCCUAAUCAUGGUUCUUGAUUCUUGAUGGUUGCUUUAGGUUCCAUCGUGAAAGGGAUGCCCUUGUUAUCCAAUUCAAACAAAAGAGAUGAUGUAGAGGCAGGGAAUCAGAUUGUUUCUUUUUGAGUGGAUUCCUUUUCCUUUUGUAUUAUUCUUUAUCAGAUUUUGUGAUUUGAAUAAUUGGUUUGAUUCUGAGAAGCAAUAUGCGAUCAGAGAGAUGAUUCAUUUAACCUCCUGUUUUUGAUGAAAUUUGCAGUUAUAUGCAUUGAAGUGUCAAAUUGCACUGAUUCUUUUUCCUGAUUAGAGCUAUCACAUGCUGGUUUGAUAGAAUGAUAAAUUCGAUUUCCUUGGCUUGCUGUCACUUCAUAGGUUAAGCAUUGUGGGAACAUGAUAUCUCUACUCUUCCUGCUGCUUAAUUGGUUGUUACUUGAGCUUACAUUGCUGACUGGUUCAUCUUGGUUUACCAGAAUACCGAGUCAUUACUUGAUGGAGAUGCAGAGGCUGGAGAAUGGAUCUCGGAUGGGAUUUGUUCAGCAAUAUAUGUUUCGGUUAUGGUGUACUUUCAUCAUGUUGAUCAAUCAGGGUUAUUGACCAAUUAACUUAGUGCAUUUGCUUUUUAUGAUUCAGAAGAUGUCCUACUCCUUUUUGUCCCACGUGUUGUUGAGUGUGGCCAUUACUUCUGUUGUUACUGUAGUAUUUGGAAGGAUGUGGUGGGCAUCAUCUUCAAAAGGUUGGAUCAUUCGAUGCCUCCCUAGAUACACGGUAUUUGAGGUAUUCAUUAUUGGUCAGGACUACUUUUUCCCCUUGUAUAUUGAUUUUAUAGGACUCAUCCACCUUCCAAGUCCUUUCACAGUUCUUCUUCAUUCUUGGGUUGUAUUAUUGGCUCAUCUUUCUGAUCCAUUAGUGCUCACAAUCAUGGUUUAUGCGUUAUUUGCGGUUCUCUGGUGUAUUUGUGCUCUUGCAUGUCUUUUCCAUUCUCCCUCCAAGCAAGUUUAGGUUUGUCUGUUAUAAUUCUGAUACACUGCAUCUGCUACUAUACUUUCGGUGGUGAUCCCUUUUACAUCGGGUGCUUAUCUAGAUCUGGGAUAAUCUUGAUUUCUUGGUUAAUGUCAUGCAAUAUAUCAUCUUGUGAUUGAUGUUGGCAGUUGUUUCAUGAUUUCCUGUUGCAUCGGUGGCCUGGCGAUUCUCUCAUUUUCGACCAACACCUUGAGUUCUUAAUACAAUCUGGCUCCAUUGCAGAGUAUAUUUGUUUUUUCAUGAAGGGUUUUCUCGCUUUGAUUAUUGAAUUGAUUGUGCUAAUUUUUGGCCUUUAUGCUUUUAGUUCAGGUCUUUCUUAGUUUGUUAUUUGUGAUGUUGCAGAAGAGCUUACGCAACUUGGGAAAAUCUUGCUGAAGGGGUAUCUUCAUCUGAUAAUUGAAGGAAGCGCAGAGGAAAUGGAAUGCAAUGAUAUGUUUUUUUUUUUUUUUUACUGAAUUGAGUUUCUAAUCUUGAUAGCGGGGUUCAUUAUGCUUGCCUUUUCGUGCGGUAGCUGCUCAUGUGGAAACAUAAAGGUUAAUUUAUUAUUUGUGCUGUUGCAGUUUAGCUUGUGCUGCAGGAUACAAUUUUGCCCCAUAUUAGCCAAUAUAGACGAUUCAUAUCAUUGUUUGUAUAUGAUGCCUAUAUGUUUUUAAUCACCCUUUUUUCUAAAAGGAAUUUAAGUGGUUCAGGUAUAUUAUGAAACUGGAAGUGCCUCUUCAUUAAUCUACAGGAAUCAGCAGUGUUGUGUUUUAAUUGGAUUCUGAUUGUUGCCCAUCCUACUGUACAAGUUCAGGCUUGCUUCAUGAUUUUCUUAUAUUUGGUUGAAGAAUUGUUGGGGGAUUAUGAAAUUUUAGUUUUUUUUAAAUAUAUUAAGGUCCAUUUGAAAAUACCACAGAAGCAUUAUCUUGCGGACCAGAGAUGCAUGAUUUAGAGGCUGGAAUUCAGAUAGAUUGAUUUCUUGUGAAGGGGGUUUGUCUAUCGCAUGGAUAUGAUGAAAAUAUUAUUGUGCAGGAAGCAAAGACUUCUGAUGAUGUUCAUGCCUAAUCAUGGUUCUUGAUUCUUGAUGGUUGCUUUAGGUUCCAUCGUGAAAGGGAUGCCCUUGUUAUCCAAUUCAAACAAAAGAGAUGGUGUAGAUGCAGGGAAUCAGAUUGUUUCUUUUCGAGUGGAUUCCUUUUCCUUUUGUAUUAUUCUUUAUCAGAUAUUGUGUUUUGAAUAAUUGGUUUGAUUCUGAGAAGAUAUAUGCGAUCAGAGAGAUGAUUCAUUUAACCUCCUGUUUUUUAUGAAUUUUGCAGUUAUAUUCAUUGAAGUGUCAAAUUGCACUGAUUCUUUUACCUGAUUAGAGCUAUCACAAGCUGGUUUGAUAGAAUGAUAAAUUCGAUUUCCUUGGCUUGCUGUCACUUCAUAGGUUAAGCAUUGUGGGAACAUGAUAUUUCUACUCUUCCUGCUGCUUAAUUGGUUGUUACUUGAGCUUACAUUGUUGACUGGUUCAUCUUGGUUUACCAGAAUACCGAGUCAUUACUUGUUGGAGAUGCAGACGCUGGAGAAUGGAUUUCGGAUGUGGGAUUUGUUCACCAAUAUAAUAUAUAUUUCGAUUAUGGUGUACUUUCAUCAUGUUGAUCAAUCAGGGUUAUUGACAAAUUAACUUAGUGCAUUUGCUUUUUAUGAUUCAGAGGAUGCUGCAAAUAGAAGCAAAAGAUGUCCUACUCUUUUUUGUCCCAUGUGUUGUUGAGUGUGGCCAUUACUUCUGUUGUUACUGUAGUAUUUGGAAGGAUGUGGUGGGCAUCAUCUUCAAAAGGUUGGGUCAUUCGAUGCCUUCCUAGAUACAAGGUAUUUGAGGUUUUCAUUAUUGGUCAGGACUACUUUUUCCCCUUGUAUAUUGAUUUUAUAGGACUCAUCCACCUUUCAAGUCCUUUCACAGUUCUUCUUCAUUCUUGGGUUGUAUUAUUGGCUCAUCUUUCUGAUCCAUUAGUGCUCACAAUCGUGGUUUAUGCGUUAUUUGCGGUUCUCUGGUGUAUUUGUUCUCUUGCAUUUCUUUUCCAUUCUCCCUCCAAGCAAGUUUAGGUUUGUCUGUUAUAAUUCUGAUACACUGCAUCUGCUAUUAUACUUUCGGUGGUGAUCCCUUUUACAUCGAGUGCUUAUCUAGAUCUGGGAUAAUCUUGAUUUCUUGGUUAAUCUCAUGCAAUAUAUCAUCUUGUGAUUGAUGUUGGCAGUUGUUUCAUGAUUUCCUGUUGCAUCAGUGGCCUGGCGAUUCUCUCAUUUUCGACCAACACCUUGAGUUCUUAAUACAAUCUGGCUCCAUUGGAGAGUAUAUUUGUUUUUUCAUGAAGGGUUUUCUCGCUUUGAUUAUUGAAUUGAUUGUGCUAAUUUUUGGCCUUUAUGCUUUUAGUUCAGGUCUUUCUUAGUUUGUUAUUUGUGAUGUUGCAGAAGAGCUUACGCAACUUGGGAAAAUCUUGCUGAAGAGGUAUCUUCAUCUUAUAAUUGAAGGAAGCGCCGAGGAAAUGGAAUGCAAUGAUAUGUUUUUUUUUUUUACUGAAUAGAGUUUCUAAUCUUGAUAGCGGGGUUCAUUAUGCUUGCCUUUUCGUGCGGUAGCUGCUCAUGUGGAAACAUAAAGGUUAAUUUAUUAUUUGUGCUGUUGCAGUUUAGCUUGUGCUGCAGGAUACAAUUUUGCCCCAUAUUAGCCAAUAUAGAAGGAAUCGUCCUUAUUUAUAUCAUUGUUUGUAUUUGAUGCCUAUAUGUUUUUAAUCACCCUUUUUUCUCAAUAGGGUUUUCUUUUGGGCUCAUAUUUUAGCAAUCCUUUUAUUUGCUUCACCAGAACCUUGAUUUGAUCUGUGAAGGGCGAUACUAGAGGAAUUAGUGUUAAGAAAGGAUUUUUCAUGAUGAGGAUUCCUCACUUCCCCUGAUAAUCUAGGGGUCACGGUAUGUGGGGCUUGACAUGGGAUGCUAUCUUGAUAAGUGGAUCUGCUGCUUAUAUGCUUUGUCAAGUUUCAUUUCUGUAUUCCAGAAAUCUCAUUCAUUUGUGUUAUUAAUAACCUGGUGAUGUUCUCUUAUUUUUUUGACCAGAACCGUCAGCUCUCAAGACAUCUGUGUGGAUUGGAUCAUGAUAUGUGCUUUUGAUGGAGCGUGUUCCUCAACCUUUAUCAUAGAAUUGGUAAUAUUUCCCAUUUGUUCUUAAACUUAGAGUUCAAGUCAUAGGAUUGGUAUUUCUGAUGUCACAGAGAGCUUGCACAACAUCAGGUUAUCUUGCUCAAGUGCAUCUUUACCUGAUAAUGAAGACAGUUCGAAGGAAAUGUAAUGAUAUGAUUUUCUAUGGAGGGAGUUUCUCAUCUUUGAUAGACUACUUUUUCGUGCACUAGCUGUUCAUGGGGAACGUUGGAAGUUACUGUAUGGUUUGUGUUGUUGCAGUAACUUUGCUGUAGGUUAUUAUUUUGCCCAUGUGGAAGGGUUUGUCCUUAUUUAUAGCUUGGCCAUUUUCAACAUUAAUUUAUAAUUUGUCAAUCUUUGUUCUGAGCGCUGAAAGUUUGAGUAACUGGGAUUAAGGAAGGGUUUUUAAUGAAGGUGCUUCCUUCCACAAAUUCUUUAGGAGUCCAUGAUCUCAUUCAUCCCUGUUGAGUUGGUGACCUUGUGAGCUUCUCUCAUUUGUUUGACUUACUUGAGCGCUUGAGAGAUUUUGGGUGAAAGAGAGAAGGUAUGUUUUUUUUAAACUAUGGAGUGGGUUCCUUAAGCUCAUUAAUUUGUUACUGCUGGCAUUGCAUAGGAGCCUGUGCAUCGUGGGCAAUCUUGCUCAAAGGUACUCUUGAUCUGAUAAUGGAAAAUGGUUUGGAGGAAUGAAUUGAUGAAGGUUGUUCGUCAUCUUUGAUAGCGGAGUGAAUAUUUUCUAUUCUUUCCUCCACCAGCUGUUCAAAUUGAGGAGGUUAAUUUAUUAUUUGUUCUGUUGCUGAGUUUGUGCUGCAAAUCACAGUUUUACCCUUGUGGAAGGGUUUGUCUCUAAUUUAUAUCAUAGUUUUUGUUUGUAUACCUGUGUUCCUAAUUUCCAUAUUUCAAUCUUAAUUGGGAAUCUGUCGAUCUAUAUUUUCAGCACCGUGAUUUUAUUUUUGGGUGACUAUCUUAGCAACCCUUUUGUUCGCUUUUCAGCACCUCAGUUUGAUCAGUGAAGGCAACAUGGCGGGUUAGAGUUAAGGAAGAAAUUUUCAUGAAUCACUUCGCAGAUAAAGGUUGGGAUCUUUCAGUUUAUGUUGUGUGGGUUGGAUCCAUAAGAUACCACAGCUUUUGAUGUUCUAUAAUUCACCGAAAUGAGUUGGUAGUUCGAUCCUUUUGAUUCUUAUCCUCCUUGUAACAGGCAUCCUGAGCAAUACGUUGUUUUACAUAUAAAUUUGAUUAUGCUAUUGUUUCUCUCUAUCUACAAUGUGUCAUUAAAGAGUUGAAGAAUAGUUAACUAGUAUGAGAGCAUCUCAUUUUUUGGUACGGUAUUUAUUGUAUUAUUGUUAUCUAUUCAGACUGUUAGUUUCUUGAUUGCUUGUUUAUCAAGAAUGUGGCAUAUAGGAUGCACAUUAUUUUUUGAUAAGGUCUGACUCGAACUUUUUGAAUCUUGUUGGUAACUGCCGCACUGAAGGGAAAAUGCAAACAAGGAGCAGGGGGAGGGCAGUAAGGAAAUAUGGGUGGGGAAACAUGGAUGGUCUAACAUACCUCAUUCAUGGGGACAUUGAGGGAAUUGGUGUUACAUAGUAUAAUAUCAUUGGGAUUAUUGAUGGUUUUUGUGUACUAUAGGUUAUGGAGGUAAGUAGAUUAUGGGUUUGGUUAUCUGUGAUGAUCCUUUUUUUUUAUUUUCAUAGGGUUGAAGGUAUCUGCUAGCUUGUAUUCAUCUUUAUGCAGUGCCAGUUCAUAAAGCAUAUAAUAUGGAGUCUAUUUUGUUUAGUGGCUUUGUAGCUUUGUCUCUUGGUUCCAGAAUAUAUUCAUUCCCAUUUAUCUAGUAAGCUUGCGAUCAUCUCUCAUUUCUAUGACCCGCUCCUUGAUCAUUAUAGGAUGUAUGCACUAAUUGGAGUAUGAUAUGACCAUUUUCACUGGCAUCAUUUUUAGCCUUGAGUUUAGAAUCAGUUAUAGUUGUUUUCUCCUGAUACUUAAGAGUUUAUAUGAUAGGAUAACUUGUUAUUUCUGUUGUUGCAGAAAAGCCAGUGCAAGUGGGAAACAAUCUAUCUCAGGGGUAUCUUGAUCUUGAAGGCUAUAUAAAAACUGGAGUUUAAUGUUGUGAUUUUUUAUUAAGGGGAUCGAAAUGUUUGUUAGUGGAGUUUACUAUAUUUUUUUGUUCACAAACUAUUCACAUGGAAGAUUAAUUUAUUAUUUCUGCCGUCGCAGAUGUGCUUGUAUUGCGGGAUGCAAUUUUUCCAAGGCAGAAGAGCAGGGUGUGUCCUUUAUAUCCUAGUCAUUGUUUUUGUGCAUUUGUGUACCAAAUAGUCGCCCUGUUCCAUUAUUGGCUUGUGUUCUCUUAAUGGGUCUGGUCCCUUGGUAGAUUUUGGAAAAUGCUGGAUUAUGAUUUGUAAUGAGCUUUAUUUUCUUCCUGUUAGAUUUGCACUAUACUUUUUCUUGUAUUGAUAAUCGUGCUAUUAUAUAUUGUAGGCAAUGGUGUGUCUUAGAAGUUAGAGCUGAUAUAAGUUCUUCUUUUGAUAAGUGACUUAGUAGCUGCUAGACUUAAAUCUGGGUUUGUUUUUUCAUCCUUGUUCCAAUUACUCAAAUAUUUCUUUAUUAUUGGUAAUCCUGUCGUUUUCCUCACCAGAACUAUGAUUUGAUUCGUGAAGGCAUAAUGGAGCAAUCCAAGUGGAGCAGUGAUUUUUCGUGCAUUGGUGCAUAUGUGAAUUGAUUUUUAUUCUGCUACUGCUGAGUGACUUAGUAUCUGUUAGUCUAUUCUGUUCAUCUUUGUUCCUCAUGCUCUAACUUUUGAUAUGGAUUACUCUUUUGCUUCACUAGAAAUUUGAUUUGAUCUGUGAAAGCAUCAUGGGGGAAUCCAAGGGAAGAAGCAAUUUGUAAUUAUGAGAGUAGUACUGUAGGUGACAUUUCAGCUGAUGAACAGAGGGGGCUCACUGGCUUAUGUCAUUUCAUUGUAUUUUAAUCAUCAUUUACAUACUGUUGGCUUCUUUAAUUUCAUUAUCAGUAUCAAUAUUAUUGGUGGUUUUACUCUAUUCUUGCUUGCAAGCGGAUGUAGAUUUCUUGAAGAUUUGCAUUUAUUAUGGUAGUGAGUUUCUUGAAGAUUUGCAGCAAUUUUUUUGACUUGGUUUUAGUGUUUACAGAAUUAGAAGCUGUUUGUUCUUGUUUGUGUGUUUGACAAUCGAAUAUGGUUUCUUGUGAUCUUCUUUUUGAAAAUAAUGCAAGUGGUUGAGUUUUUUUUUGGAACUGGGAGUGCUCUUUUGUUAAACUACAGGCAUUUCUUGUAAUGUGUUUUGAUCAGUUUUUGAAUAUCGCCAAUCCAACAAUAUGAGUUCAGACUUGCUUAUGAUUUUCCUGCUGCCAGUUUUACAGUUUUUGGUAUUCAUUUUUACAAUAUUAUUUUCAGUUUGAAAGCAUCACACAAGCAUUAUUUUGCAGCCUGAUGAGUGUUUUCUGAUGUUUCUGAUACUAAUACUCGAAAGAGAUGUUCCUGAUUCCAAUUCAAUGUUACUUUAGAUUCCAUCUUCCAGUGUUGGACAAGAUAGGCAUGAUUCAGAGGCUGAAAUUGAGGUUGGAGAUUUGCAGUAGUUGUGGAAUCUUCUGUGACUUGGUUGUUAGGGUUCACAAAAUUAGGAGCUGUUUGUUCUUGUUUGAGGAUUUCACAGUUGAAUCUGGUUUAUUGUGAUUUAGUUUACUUUUUUUUUUCCCUAAAAAAGAAAAUCCAAGUGGUCAGGUUUCUUUCUUAUGGAAGUGGUAGUGCUCCAUUGUUAAUCUGCAGGAAUCAGCCAUGGUGUAUUCUUAUUGGAUCUUUGAGUAUUGCCAAUCCGACAGUCCGAGUUCAGAUUUACUUCAUGAUUUUCUUGUAUUCAGUUGAAGCACUGGUGCCGGGGUUAUGAGUUUUAAGUAUUUAUUUUAAUAAUCCUUUCAGCGUGCAAUCUUCGUGGAAGGGGUUUCUGAUGUUGAUACUCAUGCUUGAUGCUUCUGAUUGUGAGUUGUUAUUUCAGUUUCCAUAUUUUGAUGUUGGACAUGAGAAGUCUUUCAUGGGGGUUUCUUCUUCUUUAUAGUUGUUUCUCUUCGUAUUUUUAUUUUUAUUUUUAUUUUUUCAAGUAAGGUUUUGUAUGGUUAUUAUCAUCUGUCUAUUCCCUGGGGAUUUCUUGAAGAUUUGCAGUAAUCUAGGGAACCAGGGAAUUCUUGGAGAUUUGCAGUGAAUUUCUUGAAGAUUUUCUUGAAGAUUGCAGUAAUUAAGGUUUCGAAUUUCUUGAGGAUUUGCAAUAGUUUGGUAUUUCUCUAUGACAUGGUUUAGGGUUUGCAGAAUUAGAGGCAGUUUGUUCUUCUUUGAGAAUUCGUCGAUAUGAGGUUUGAACCCAUUUUUUCGUGAUUUUGGUUUCCUUUUUGAAAAGGAAUUUAAUUGGUUCAGGUAUCUUAUGAAACUGGAAGUGCCUCUUCAUUAAUCUACAGGAAUCAGCAGUGUUGUGUUUUAAUUGGAUUCUGAUUGUUGCCCAUCCGACUGUGCAAGUUCUGGCUUGCCUCAUGAUUUUCUUAUAUUUGGUUGAAGAAUUGUUGUGGGAUUAUGAAAUUUUAGUUUUUUUUAAAAUAUAUUAAGGUCAGUUUGAAAACAUCAGAGAAGCAUUAUCUUGCAGACCAGGGAAGCAUGAUUUUGAGGCUGGAAUUCAGAUAGAUUGAUUUCUUGUGAAGGGGGUUUGUCUAUCGCUUGGAUAUGAUGAAAAUAUUAUUGUGCAAGAAACAAAGACUUCUGAUGAUGUUCAUGCCAAAUCAUGGUUCUUGAUUCUUGAUGGUUGCUUUAGGUUCCAUCGUGAAAGGGAUGCCCUUGUUAUCCAAUUCAAACAAAAGAGAUGAUGUAGAGGCAGGGAAUCAGAUUGUUUCUUUUUGAGUGGAUUCCUUUUCCUUUCGUAUUAUUCUUGAUCAGAUAUUGUGAUUUGAAUAAUUGGUUCGAUUCUGAGAAGCAAUAUGUGAUCAGAGAGAUGAUUCAUUUAACCUCCUGUUUUUGAUGAAAUUUGCAGUUAUAUCCAUUGAAGUGUUAAAUUGCAUUGAUUCUUUUACCUGAUUAGAGCUAUCACUUGCUGGUUUGAUAGAAUGAUAAAUUCCAUUUCCUUGGCUUGCUGUCACUUCAUAGGUUAAGCAUUGUGGGAACAUGAUAUUUCUAUUCUUCCUGCUGCUUAAUUGGUUGUUACUUGAGCUUACAUUGCUGCUGGUUCAUCUUGGUUUACCAGAAUACCGAGUCAUUACUUGAUGGAGAUGCAGAGGCUGGAGAAUGGAUCUCGGAUGGGAUUUGUUCACCAAUAUAUAUUUCGAUUUUGGUGUACUUUCAUCAUGUUGAUCAAUCAGGGUUAUUGACAAAUUAACUUAUUGCAUUUGCUUUUUAUGAUUCAGAGGAUGCUGCAAAUAGAAGCGAAAGAUGUCCUACUCUUUUUUGUCCCAUAUGUUGUUUAAUGUGGCCGUUAGUUCUGUUGUUACUGUAGUAUUUGGAAGGAUGUGGUGCACAUCAUCUUCAAAAGGUUGGGUCAUUCGAUGCCUCCCUAGAUACAAGGUAUUUGAGGUUUUCAUUAUUGGUCAGGACUAUUUUUUCUCCUUGUAUAUUGAUUUUUUAGGACUCAUCCACCUUCCAAGUCCUUUCACAGUUCUUCUUCAUUCUUGGGUUGUAUUAUUGGCUCAUCUUUCUGAUCCAUUAGUGCUCACAAUCGUGGUUUAUGCGUUAUUUGCGGUUCUCUGGUGUAUUUGUGCUCUUGCAUGUCUUUUUCAUUCUUCCUCCAAGCAAGUUUAGGUUUGUCUGUGAUAAUUCUGAUACACACUGCAUCUGCUACUAUACUUUCGGUGGUGAUCCCUUUUACAUCGAGUGCUUAUCUAGAUCUGGGAUAAUCUUGAUUUCUUGGUUAAUCUCAUGCAAUAUAUCAUCUUGUGAUUGAUGUUGGCAGUUGUUUCAUGAUUUCCUGUUGCAUCAGUGGCCUGGUGAUUCUCUCAUUUUCGACCAACACCUUGAGUUCUGAAUACAAUCUGGCUCCAUUGGAGAGUAUAUUUGUUUUUUCAUGAAGGGUUUCCUCACUUUGAUUAUUGAAUUGAUUGUGGUAAUUUUUGGCCUUUAUGCUUUUAGUUCAGGUCUUUCUUAGUUUGUUAUUUGUGAUGUUGCAGAAGAGCUUAUGCAACUUGGGAAAAUCUUGCUGAAGGGGUGUCUUCAUCUGAUAAUUGAAGGAAGUGCAGAGGAAAUGGAAUGCAAUGAUAUGAUUUUUUUUUUUUUUACUGAAUAGAGUUUCUAAUCUUGAUAGCGGGGUUCAUUAUGCUUGCUUUUUCGUGCAGUAGCUGUUCUUGUGGAAACAUAAAGGUUAAUUUAUUAUUUCUGCUGUUGCAGUUUAGCUUGUGCUGCAGGAUACAAUUUUGCCCCAUAUUAGCCAAUAUAGAAGGAAUCGUCCUUAUUUAUAUCAUUGUUUGUGUUUGAUGCCUAUAUGUUCCUAACUACCUUUUUUUCUCAAUAGAGUUUUCUUUUGGGUUUGUAUUUUAGCAAUCCUUUUAUUUGCUUCAUCAGAACCUUGAUUUGAUCCGUGAAGGGCAAUAUUAGAGGAAUUAGGGUUGAGAAAGGAUUCCUCAUGAUGAUGAGUGUUCCUCACUUCCCCUGAUAAUCUAGGGGUCACAGUAUGUGGGGCUUGACAUGGAUGCUAUCUCGAUAAGUUGAUCUGCUGCUUAUAUGCUUUGUCAAGUUUCAUUUCUGUAUUCCAGAAAUCUCAUUCAUUUGUGUUAUUAAUAGCCUGGUGACCUUCUCUCAUUUUUUUGGCCAGAACCAUCAGCUCUCAAGGCAUCUGGGUGGAUUGGAUCAUGAUAUGUGCUUUUGAUGGAGGGUGUUCUUCAACCUUUAUUAUGGAAUUGGUAAUAUUUCCCAUUUGUUCUUAAACUUAGCGUUCAAGUCAUUGGAUUGUUAUUUCUGAUGUCACAGAGAGCUUGCACAACAUCAAGUUAUCUUGCUCAAGGGCAUCUUUACCUGAUAAUGAAGACAGUUCGAAGGAAAUGUAAUGAUAUGAUUUUUUAUGGAGAGGUUUUCUCAUCUUGAUAGACUACUUUUUCGUACACUAGCUGUUCAUGAGGAACGAUGAAAGUUACUGUACGGUUUGUGUUCUUGCAGUAGCUUUGCUGUAGGUUAUUAUUUUGCCCAUGUGGAAGGGUUUGUCCAUAUUUAUAGCUGGCCAUUUUCAACAUUAAUUUAUAGUUUGUCAAUCUUUGUUCUGACUCACUGAAAGUUUGAGUAACUGGGAUUAAGAAAGGGUUCUUCAUGAUGGUGCUUCCUUACUUCCACAAAUUCUUGAGUAGUCCAUGAUCUCAUUCAUCCCUGUUGCAGCUUGUGCAUCAUGGGCAAUCUUGCUCAAAGGUACUCUUGAUCUGAUAAUGGAAAAUGGUUUGGAGGAAUGAAUUGAUGAAGGUUGUUUGUCAUCUUUGAUAGUGGAGUGAAUAUUUUCUAUUCUUUCCUGCACUAGCUGUUCAAACUGAGGAGGUUAAUUUAUUAUUCGUUCUGUUGCAGAGUUUGUGCUGCAAAUUACAGUUGUACCCUUGUGGAGGGGUUUGUCCCUAAUUUAUGUCAUGAUUUUUGUUUGUAUACCUUUAUGUUCUUAAUUUCCAUUUUUCAAUCUUAAUUUGGAAUCUGUUGACCUAUAUUCUCAGCACUGUGAUGUUAAUUUUGGGUGACUAUCUUAGCAACCCUUUUGUUUGCUUUUCAGCACCUCAGUUUGAUCAAUGAAGGCAACAUGGAGGGUUAGAGUUAAGGAAGAAAUUUUCAUGAAUCACUUUGAAGAUAAAGGUUUGGACCUUUCAGUUUAUGUUGUGUGGGUUAGGUCCAUAACAUACCACAGCUUUUGGUGUUCUAUAAUUCACCGAAAUGAGUUAGUAGUUCGAUCCUUUUGAUUCUUAUCUUCCUUGUAACAGGCAUCCUGAGCAAUAUGUUGUUUUACAUAUAAAUUUGAUUGUGCUAUUGUUUCUCUCUAUCUACAAUAUCACAUUAAAGUGUUGAAGAAUAGUUAAUUAGUAUGAGAGCAUCUCAUUUUUUGGUAUGGUAUUUAUUGUAUUAUUGUUAUCUAUUCAGACUGUUAGUUUCUUGAUUGCUUGUUUAUCAAGAAUGUGGCAUAUGGGAUGCACAUUUUUUUUUUGGUAAGAAAGAGCUCAAACUUUUUGAUCUUGUUGGUAACCACCGCACUGAAGGGAAAAUGCAAACAUUGAACAGGAGGAGGGCCGGGUAAGGAAACACGGGUGGGGAAACAUGGAUGGUCUAACAUACCUCAUGCACAGGGACAUUGAGGGAAUUGGUGUUACAUAAUAGAAUAUCAAUGGGAUUAUUGAUGGUUUUUGUGUACUAUAGGUUAUGGAGGUAAGUAGAUUCUGGAUUUGGUUAUCUGUGAUGUUCCUUUUUUUUAUAUUCAUGGGGUUGAAGGUUUCUUCUAGCUUGUCUUCAUCUUUAUGCAGUGCCAGUUCUUUAGGAGCCAAAGCAUAUAAUAUGGAGGCUAUUUUGUUAAGUGGCUUUGUAGCUUUAGCUCUUGGUUCCAGAAUAUAUUCAUUCCUAUUGAUCUAGUAAGCUUGUGAUCAUCUCGCAUUUCUUUGACCUGCUCCUUGAUCGUUAUUGGAUGUAUGCACUAUUUGGAGUAUGAUAUGACCGUUUUCAUUGGCGUUAUCCUUAGCCUUGAUUUUAGAAUCAGUUAUAGUUGUUUUCUCCUGAAUCAGUUAUAGUUGUUUUCUCUUGAUACUUAAAGAGUUUAUAUGAUCGGAUAACUUGUUAUUUCUGUUGUUGCAGAAAAGCCAGUGCAAGUGGGAAACAAUCUAUCUCAGGGGUAUCUUGAUCUUGAAGGCUAUAUAAAAACUGGAGUUUAAUGUUGUGAUUUUUUAUUAAGGGGAUCGAAAUGUUUGUUCGUGGAGUUUGCUAUAUUUUUUUGUUCACAAACUAUUCUCAUGGAAGAUUAAUUUAUUAUUUCUGCUGUCGCAGAUGUGCUUAUAUUUGCAGGAUGCAAUUUUUCCAAGGCAGAAGAGCAGAGUGUGUCCUUUAUAUUCGAGUCAUUGUUUAUGUGCAUUUGUGUACCAAAUAGUCGCCUUGUUCCAUUAUUGGCUUGUGUUCUCUUAAUGGAUCUGGUCCCUUGGUAGAUUUUGGAAAAUGCUGGAUUAUGAUUUGUAAUGAGCUUCAUUUUCUUCCUGAUGGAUUUGCACUAUACUUUUUCUUGUAUUGAUAAUCAUGCUAUUAUAUAUUGUAGGCAGUGCUGUGUCUUAGAACUGAUAUAAGUUCUUCUAUUGAUAAGUGACUUGGUGGCUGCUACACUUAAUCUGGGUUUGUUUUUUCAUCUUGUUCCAAUUACUCAAAUAUUUCUUUAUCUUUGGUAAUCCUGUCAUUUGCGUCACUAGAACUGUGAUUUGAUCGGUGAAGGCAUAAUAGAGCAAUACAAGUGGAGCAGUGAUUUUUCGUGCAUUGGUGCGUAUGGGAAUUGAUAUAUAUUCUGCUACCGCUGAGUGACUUAGUAUCUGUUACAUUUUAUCUGGGUCUAUUUUGUUUUUCUUUGUUCCUAAUGCUUUGACUUCUGAUAUGGGUUAGUACUUCAGUAUUUAUCUCUUAUGCUUCACCAGAAAUUUGAUUUGAUCAGUGAAGGUACCAUGGGGGAAUCCAAGGGGAGA
rnacentral:lncRNA from 1 species